UUGGAGGGCAAGUCUGGUGCCAGCAGCCGCGGUAAUUCCAGCUCCAAUAGCGUAUAUUAAAGUUGUUGCAGUUAAAAAGCUCGUAGUUGAAUUUCGGGAUCAAUUUAUUGGUCGUGCCAACGGUACGCACUGGUACAAUUGGUUUCUCCCUUCUGACGAAGCAUGAUGUCAUUAAUUUGAUGUCGUGGGGAAUCAGGACUGUUACUUUGAAAAAAUUAGAGUGUUUAAAGCAGGCUUUGGCUUGAAUACAUUAGCAUGGAAUAAUGAAAUAGGACGUUUGAUCUUAUUUCGUUGGUUUCUAAGAUCGACGUAAUGAUUAAUAGGGAUAGUUGGGGGCAUUAGUAUUCAAUUGUCAGAGGUGAAAUUCUUGGAUUUAUUGAAGACUAACUACUGCGAAAGCAUUUGCCAGGGAUGUUUUCAUUAAUCAAGAACGAAAGUUAGGGGAUCGAAGACGAUCAGAUACCGUCGUAGUCUUAACCAUAAACUAUGCCGACUAGGGAUCGGAUGAUGUUAAUUUUUUAAUGACUCAUUCGGCGCCUUACGGGAAAC
rnacentral:rRNA from 1 species